UAAAUCACAGCCAUUCACAUUAGUCUCGGCCUCUUAUCAAAUUGUAAAAUACGAAAAGGGUCCAUGCCAUUGCCAUCCAUUUUAUUUUAAUUUUUAUAACAGUUUCCUUUAAUUAUUCAAUAAGCAAACCUGGUUGAUUUCUCCAUCGGCUGAAUUUGCAGGAUAUAAAGAUUCAAUCCUGAUUCAUAUUUCUCCAGCUGGUAAGAAAUCAUCCACGAUGUUUACAAGAAUUUUUGGAAAGCCUAAGCAAGAGACGAAUGCUCUGGCAACGUUAGAUAAGUUAAAUGAGACUCUUGAAAUGCUCGAGAAAAAAGAGAAAGUUCUCUUGAAGAAGGCUGCAACUGAAGUUGAAAGGGCCAAAGAGUUCACUCGAGCUAAAAAUAAAAGGGCUGCAAUACAAUGUUUGAAGAGAAAACGGCUUUAUGAACAACAAAUUGAACAGCUUGGAAAUUUCCAGUUGCGAAUUCAUGAUCAGAUGAUAAUGCUAGAAGGAGCAAAAGCUACCACAGAAACUGUAGAUGCUUUGAGAACAGGAGCAGCUGCAAUGAAGGCUAUGCAGAAGGCAACCAAUAUCGAUGACGUGGACAAGACAAUGGAUGAAAUCAACGAGCAGACAGAAAACAUGAAACAAAUUCAAGAAGCUUUAUCCACGCCUAUUGGUGCAGCAGCUGAUUUUGAUGAAGAUGAAUUGGAGGCAGAGCUCGAAGAACUCGAAGGAGCUGAGCUGGAGGAACAGCUCUUGCAACCUGCAACAACAGCUCCUGCUGCUCCUGUUCGAGUGCCUGCUGGAAGGCAACCAGCGAAGAAGGUUGAAGACGAUGACGAUGAGUUGGCUGAAUUGCAGAGAGAGAUGGCCCUUUAAGGAGGUCAUUUUCUUACCUAUGCUUAACACGGUCAAUUCUAUCAACUCAGAAUAAAUAUUUAAACAAGUCCAGAGGAACUGUAAAAUUCUUUUCCGUAUAAUGGAGAGCCGUAGCUUGAGCUGCUGUGUCCAUAUUUUCAGGUCAAAUUUCGAUGUGCGUUUCUUUGUUUGGAAAGAAACCUGUAUAGAUUAUAUCAAGAAAAAAUAUUCUUCUUCAAUUUGGGAGGGAGGAAGUGUGCUGCUGCUAGCUUUCAUUAUGCUAAAUUUCUGCUAUUUUAUUUUCUACCUAAUCUCUCGAUCAUUUGCAUUCACAUUGAAUAGACCAUUGAUUGAAAAGAAACAAAUGCUUUAGCUUGUUUA